rnacentral:rRNA from 1 species
CCUUACGGUAUACAAAAGCGAGGACUGUAYGCCCUCGCACUCGGAAUCCCCUUAUCGCACUGUCGUGCAGUGUAHAGG